rnacentral:lncRNA from 1 species
CAGCCAUGCAAACAAGAAUGCAUUACUUCUCUACCUAAUAAUAUGAAUUAAUAUGGCCAUAACAUUGGGCAAAAAAAGCCAGACACAAAAGAGUAAACUACUGCGUGGUUCCCUUUAUUUGAAGUUCAAAAUCAGGAAAAACUAAUCUAUGGUGGCAAAUAUUAGAAUAAUGGUUACCUUUGGAGAAGAGUAUUAUCUAGGAGGAGGCAUGAAGGAGCCUGCUGGUGAAUUGAAAAUGCCCUACAUCUUGAUCUGGGUGGUGGUUAUGGUUACAUGGAGGUAAUACAUGUUUUUAAAAAAUCAUUAAGUUAUUAAGAUUUCUGCUUCUGAUGCAAGUUACACCUCAAUAAAAAGGGGAAAAAAAAACAGUGCCUAUGCCUACCUCCAGAAAAUGUUGAUUCAUUGGUCUGGAGUAGAGCACAGGCAGGGGUAAUUUUUUAACAUCUUCCAGAUGCUUCCAAUAUGCAGCCAGGGUCGAGAAUGACUCCCUUACAUGAUUGGACUCCCUUACAUGAUUGGACUCCCUUACAUGAUUGGACUCCCUUACAUGAUUGGACUCCCUUACAUGAUUAGACUUAACUGAGUUUUGGUCAAGCAGGGCAGUAGCUGUAAGCUUUGGAAGAGAAAGCCAGCAGUUAUCCGAGCGGUUCCCUCCCAUCUGUGAGACUCUUGCUCAUGUCAGCAGUAUUCCCUUGUCUUCCCCUCGGACAGGUGAUGGGCCUGAGACGGGUUUGAAAUAGGUCAGGAUAGAACCUUCAUGGACUCUAGUGUUCUAUUGCACAUUAAGCCUCAAAUUAACUUUUCAUUCUGGUUUCCAACCACUCUGUCCUUACAGGUCAUGAAAGGAACACCAAUGUUUUGCAAACUAUGGGCAGCAGUGUUUUUGAGGGUCAUGAUCAGUUUAGUGUAGCAAUUCUCUAUCUUUUCUUAAGAUCUUAGGACCCCUUUAUUCUUGUAAAGAGUGAGAGCCCCAAAGACCUUUUGUGUAUGUAGAUAUAUUUAAAAAUUAAAAUAGAAAAUUUUUAAA